rnacentral:rRNA from 1 species
GACGAACGCUGGCGGCGUGCCUAACACAUGCAAGUCGAACGGAAAGGCCCCUUUGGUGGUACUCUAGUGGCGAACGGGUGAGUAACACUUGAGUAACCUUCCCUUGACUUCGGGAUAACGUCAGGAAACUGGGGCUAAUACCGGAUAGGAAUCCUUUCUUCAUCGUGGGGGUUGGAAAGCUUCGGCGGUUUUGGAUGGAUUGGCGGCUUAUCAGCUUGUUGGUGGGGUGGUGGCUUACCAAGGCUUUUACGGGUAGCCGGACUGAGUGGGCGACCGGCGACAUUGGGUCCGAGAGGAGGCAGAGGCUGGUAAGGGAGGCAGAUGUGGGGAAUAUUGAACGAUCGGCGCAACGCUGGUGAAGAAGGGCUGCGGGUGGUAUGACGCUGUUCUGGUUGUAGAACACUUUCAGCAGGAGCGAAGCUUGUGGUGACGGUACCUAAAGAAGAAGCAACGGCUAACUACGUG